GGUGUUGGGGCUCAGUGGUAGAGCGCUUACCUGGCAUGUAUGAGGCACUGGGUUCUAUUCUCAUCACCA
rnacentral:tRNA from 1 species